AGUGAAGAAGUUAGAUAAGAUGGCCGGAGAGGGCGACAAAGAAUUCAAUACAGAAGUGAAAGUUAUUGGAAGAACAAAUCACAAGAAUUUGGUUCAGCUUGUUGGAUUCUGUAACGAAGGGGAACAUCGCCUUCUGGUCUAUGAAUACAUGAGCAAUGGCUCUUUGGCCAAUUUUCUCUUUGGAGAUUCAAGGCCUAACUGGUACCGAAGAAUGCAAAUUGCUUUCGAUAUAGCCAGAGGGCUCCUUUACCUCCACGAAGAAUGCAGCUCCCAGAUAAUCCAUUGUGAUAUCAAGCCUCAAAAUAUCCUCCUCGACAAAUCUUUUAGGGCAAGGAUUUCUGAUUUCGGAAUAGCCAAGCUGUUGAAGACAGACCAAACUAAAACAACUACAGCAAUCAGGGGUACCAAAGGGUAUGUAGCUCUUGAAUGGUUCAAGAACCUGCCUGUCACCACCAAAGUAGAUACCUACAGCUUUGGCAUUCUUUUGCUGGAGCUAGUAUGCUGUAGAAAGAACUUUGAGAUUAAUGCUCUGCAAGAGCAUCAGGUAGUUCUUGCUGACUGGGCAUGUGAUUGCCUUAAAGAAGGAAAGUUAGGCCUUUUAGUAGAAGAAGAUGAAGAGGCAACGGAAGACAUGAAAACGGUGGAGAGGUUUGUGAUGGUUGCAAUUUGGUGCAUUCAGGAGGAUCCAUCUUUAAGACCUGGAAUGAAAACAGUUGUGCAGAUGCUAGAAGGAGCUGUUCAAGUCUCUAUUCCUCCUGAUCUUUCAUCAUUUAUCAGCACAAUCUAAAUCCUUUUUGUACACGUUUAUAUAUCCAGAAACUAAGGCCAAUUAAUGUAACCUAUCUACCAUGUAUUGAAUAAUCUGUAGUUCCUCUCAUUUCAGACAUGUCUAGAUCAUCUUCUGGGUUGUACUCUAAAUUUCAAGUCAAAUGAUGAUUUCUUCAACUUGUCCAAUUGAGUAGCAGAUUGAUUGCAAGGACUGAGUGUUUAUCAGCUUGGAAAGAAAAACAUCAUGUGUGUUACUACAUGCUCAACAAGGCUUCAAAUACUUGCAUCCUUUUUCUGUUCCUUUUCCAUGCUCAAGAGUAACGAGUAGAAUCAAAGAAUUAUUAUUCGAAAUAUGUCCUUAAUAAAUAAUUACUGACCGGCCAGUUCUUCAAUCUUAAAAGGUCUAGCUCUUACAGACUUGGCCCGUGUAGAUAGCAUGUUUGUCUCUCAAGUUAUUUAUCAUAAUGUAGUCCUAAUUAAGAUCGUUUAUCGUAGUUAUUAAACGCAGCUUAAUCUAAUUAAUUGAGUUAAAACACCACCACCUUGGCUUGAUUUUCAUAAAAAAACUUUAUUUGUUGUUACUAGAUUAACUCAGCCUGAUCAAUUCACAACCUUAAUUUUGUUCUGUUUUUAAAAUAUCGUUUUAACUUUCAUUAAAAAAAAUUAAAAUAAUAUUAUUUUAAAUUAAUUUUAAAAAUCUAAAUUAACAUAUCUAAUCUGUGGGUCGUGUGCGAGUUCGGGCUUAAUAUUUUUUAUGCGAACGGUUUGUUUAACAUCUUGAGAAAUUUAGUAAUUGCAGAUAAAAGUUGACCUGUCCAUUAUAAUAAUGAUAGGAAAGAAAAGGUUCAUUUUGGCGUCAAAGACAAUUUUAGACCAAUAUAAACGACUAGUCGUUGCAUUUGUUGUCUUGUUUAUGUAUGACAAGUAGUCGAUGGCAAUGUGACUUUCAAAUUGGAUUGAUUCGCGUGUUAAUUGUACCAUGCACAUUAAAGUGUCAUGCACUUAUUUCUUCUUCUUUUCCAUAUUAAAGAGUAACAAGUAAAAUCAUAUAUUUAUUAGCAUUAAGCAAAAGGAUUUUAUAAUUUAUUAUUCCACAUGGUUUAAUUUUAAAUAAUAAUUUUUUUUUUAAGGUUUAGUUUAAAUGAUAGAUGAGUUUGUUCCUUAAGAUACUAUUUAGAAUUGAAUCUUUAAAAAAACGAUUCUUCUUUAUGAAUUUACAAAUUCAGAUAUACAUGCUCUAAUUCAAAAUCAAUAUAUAGGAGGAAUCAUUCCAGCAAUGAUCACUUUUAAUUCACUUCACAAAUUACUCAACAAGAUGUUAACUAAAUUAUUAGCUCACACUAUGCUACAAAUUAGAUCAAUUAUUUAUAUAUAAAGAAAAAUAUGUAGAUAUAUCUAACAUUUUUUUUGACAAAAAUAAUUUAAAUUAUAUACGAGUUGACUUGAUAUAACUUAGUUAACUUGAAAUUAACUAUUGUUAAAAACAUGGUUUGAUUAAAAAAAUCCCAAGAUAAUAUUUUAAAAAAAAACAUUAAGAUAGAAAUAUAUUGGAUCUACUCAGGUUAACCUGAAUUAACUUGUCAAAUCAACAUUCUUGUUAUCCAUUUUUGAGACCCCAUACUAAAAAAUUAAAAAAAAAACUUGGAAAAAUAAAAUAUAUAUCAAUAAGAAGAGCAUGAAAAAUAUCUAGAAAAUUUUCAAAGACUAGUUAAGGAAGAUCAAAAUACUCAAAGUUGAAAAAUUAAUAUUUCAAUUUUGAAUGAUAAAUGACUUAUUAACAAGAAAAAAUCAAUUUGAGAAGAAACAUUUAAAAUUGAAUGUUUAAUAACUCAAUUGGUAUUUUUUUUAGGGUUUAAUUCAAUUUAUUGAAGGUUUAAUUGUGAGGAAUGUUGGUUUUUGAAUUCAAUUUGGGCUUUAAUCGGAAAGAAUUGAAGUGUUGGGGUUGAAUUGCAAUUUUAAAAAGAUAAUUUGAUCAAAUUAAUGGCUUAAUUGCAUAGAUAUUAAAGUUUGAUAGGCAAUUAGAAACUUGAUUGAAGAAACUCAAAAUCAAAGACCAAAUCGUAAAAGACGUGGGACUUUUAAGGACUUAAAUCGACAAAAUCAAGGGUCAAAUUAAAAAAAAUUGAAAGUUUAAUUGAUGGUCAAUUGAGGGUUAAUUUACAUAAAUCAACAAUCAAUGACCUAAUUAGAAAAGGUGCUAAAUUUUAGGGUUGAUUAUUAAGUUUGACAGGGAUGGAAUUGUAUGAAAUUAAAAGUUAAGAGACAAUUAAACAAAAUUUAAGUCAAAUAUAUCAAAAUCUAAGACCAAGUCACAAAUAUUUGGAUAAAGUCACUCAAAAAUGAUGUAUUUUCCAAGCUUAGAGAUAUACUAGGAGUUAUCAAAAAUCAAGUUUAAUAAAGGAUGUUGAAAAUAAACUCAAUGUUUGGGUUUUUUCUUUUUAAAUAAAGGAACUAAUCAAUUAGUUGAAACAGAGGAACUAAUCUACCGGUUGAGAACUAUUCAACUAAUUAAGUCAGAAAAAGUAUUUUUUUUUAUUAUAUUAAAUUAUUUUUUGUUUAGUUUAAUUUUUUAUUUAUCUAGGAUUUUAUAUUUAUAAAUAGACUUAUAAUUAUAAGUAUAAGGUAAGUGCAGGAAAGAAAAACACUUAAUAAAACAUACUUUCCUCUAAAAAUUUCUUCUUGUUAAAUAGCCUUGCAAUUUAGUAUUUAUCCAUAUAAGCUACCACACUAAUUUUCUUCCAGCAGGGGGCUCCUUCCAUGAAGAAUGCAUCUCGCAUUACUAUCCAAAGGGUAUGUAGUUCUUGAAUAGUUCAAGAACUUGGCUGUUACAACCAAGGUUACCUGCAGCUUAGGCAUUCUUUUCCUAGAGCUAGUUUGUUGCAGAAAGAACUUUGAGAUUAAUGCAAUGCAAGAACAUCAGAUAGUUCUUGCAGACUGGGCAUGUGAUUUCCUUAAAGAAGGAAAGUUGAACCUUUUAGUAGAAGAAGAUGAAGAGGCGAUGGAAGACAUGAAAAGGGUAGAGAGGUUUGUGAUGGUUUCAAUUCAAUUUGGUGCAUUCAGGAUGAUCCAUCUUUAAGACCUGGAAUGAAGAAAGUUGUGCAGAUGCUAUAAGGAGCUGUUCAAAUCUCUGUUCCUCCUGAUCCUUCAUCAUUUAUCAGCACAAUCUAAAUCCUUUUUGGACACACACACACACACACACACACACACACACACAUAUAUAUAUAUAUAUAUAUGUAUGUAUCCAGAAAAUAAGGCCGAUGAAUGUUACCUAUCUACCUUGUUUUGUAUUUUAUAAUCUGUAGUUGCUAUCUAACACAUGAUGCCUGAAAUGAUAGCAACUACAGAUUAUAAAAUACAAGGUAGAUAGGUAACAUUCAUUGGCCUUGGUUUCUGGAUACAUACAUACAUAUAUAUAUAUAUAUGGUCAAGCUUCGGAUUGAUUUCAUUGAAGUGGUCAAAAGAAGAAGGCUUCGGAUUGAUUUCAUUGAAGUGGCCAUACCAUUUAUUUUUAUCUAUUGCUCGAAGGGGUACAGCUAAUAACAUGUCUUUUUUCUAUGGGUCGAUCACACAUUAAUAUUGGACAAUUUCACAAUUGAAAAUUACAAUCACCUAAUGUUUGACUUAUUAAUGCUGCAAUAAGCACUUUCUAAGGAAGUAAAAAAGGAAGCUGCUAUGUUUGUUCUUCCAACCGCAAUACUCUCAUAAAUAAAGAAGAGGACCUGAGCCCUGAGUCCUGCAUUGUCUUGAAGAAAAGUAUCUUCACAUCUCAUGGAUUUUCAACUACCAUGUUGUUUUUGCUUCCUUCUUCUUCUGCUGCUGCCGUUCUCCACCUAUGGUCAGACUUACAGCAACAGAUCUUUGGAGUCAUCUCUCACUGCUGGAAGUGAUAACCUUUCUUGGACUUCACCAUCUGGGGAUUUUUCUUUUGGUUUCCAGCAAGUUGGUGAUGCUGGCUACAUACUUGCCAUAUGGUUCAACAAAAUACCUGAGAGAACCAUAGUCUGGUCAGCUAAUAGAAAUCAUCUAGUUCCGGGGGGGUCAAGAGUACAACUUACAGCAGAUGGUGAGUUCGUUCUAAAUGAUCAAUCAGGCGGACAAAUAUGGAGUCCAGUUUCUGGUGGAAGUGGAGCCGCCUAUGCAGCCAUGCUUGACACAGGAAACUUCGUGGUAGCAAGCCAAGCUGGUGCCAAUAUGUGGCAGAGUUUUGAUGAACCAACAGAUACACUGUUGCCCACACAAAAUCUGAAUUUAGGUGCUCAACUAAUUGCUCCCUACCUGGAAAAGAAUUAUUCAGAAGGAAGAUACAAGUUCAUUCUACAAGCUGACGGGAAUCUCCUCCUGUACACCACACACUAUCCAUUAAAUACCUCAAAUUCUGCUUAUUGGUUGCCCGGAAAUUCUACAGGUAGCGGUUAUCAGGUGAUCUUUAACCAGUCUGGCUAUAUGUACCUUGUAGCUAGAGAUGGUACUGUACUUUAUCCUGUAUUCUCUAAUUCAGUAUCAAUCCAAGAUCUCUACUUGAGGGCAACCCUGGACUAUGAUGGAGUUCUUAGGCAAUAUGUUUAUCCCAAGACUGCUUCCAGUAGCAGAAGCAGGGCUACGGCCUGGACGACUUUGUCAAACUCCAUACCAUCAAAUAUCUGCUCGCAAAUUACGGAACAAGUAGGCAGUGGAGCUUGCGGUUUCAACAGCUAUUGCAGAUUAGGAGAUGACCAAAGACCAAGUUGCCAGUGUCCUCCUGGUUACACUUUCUUUGAUCCAAAUGAUGAGAGGAAGGGAUGCAAGAAAAACUUUAUUUCACAGGAUUGUGACCAUCCAUCGCAAGAAAUAGAUAGCUUUGAGAUCGAGGAAAUGCCUAACACAAACUGGCCAUUUAAUGAUUAUGAAAUGUUUGCUUCAGUGGGCGAGGAUUGGUGCAGACAGGCUUGCUUAAGUGACUGUUAUUGUGAUGUUACCAUUUAUAACACUGCUGGACAAUGUUGGAUGAAGAGAGUCCCUCUCUCGAAUGGGGUAAUAGGUCCAAGUGUUGCUGGAAAAGCCCUGAUAAAAGUAAGGAAAGGCAACUCGACUGCAGGUUCAAGUGCAAAGAAGUGUGAUAGAUCGAAUUUGAUCACAACAGGCUCGGUGCUUUUAGGUAGCUCCAUCUUUCUAAUUGUUCUCUCACUGCUAGGGAUCUAUGUGUUCUUUUCUCGAUGGAACCGACGGCAACAAAAAAUGAUACCGCAACAGCGUCUCAUGCCAGACAUGAAUAUGCAGAAUUUCACUUACAGUGAGCUCGAAAGAGCUACAGGAGGAUUCAAGGAAGAACUCGGUAGAGGUGCCUUUGGAACUGUUUACAAAGGAGUACUAGCGAACGAAGACAAACCACUCAUUGCGGUGAAGAAGUUAGAUAAGAUGGCCGGAGAGGGCGACAAAGAAUUCAAUACAGAAGUGAAAGUUAUUGGAAGAACAAAUCACAAGAAUCUGGUUCAACUUGUUGGAUUCUGUAACGAAGGGCAACAUCGCCUUCUGGUCUACGAAUACAUGAGCAAUGGCUCUUUGGCCAAUUUUCUCUUCGGAGAUUCAAGGCCUAACUGGUACCGAAGAAUGCAAAUUGCUUUCGAUAUAGCCAGAGGGCUCCUUUACCUCCACGAAGAAUGCAGCUGCCAGAUAAUCCAUUGUGAUAUCAAGCCUCAAAAUAUCCUCCUCGACAAAUCUUUUAGGGCAAGGAUUUCUGAUUUCGGACUAGCCAAGCUGUUGAAGACAGACCAAACUAAAACAACUACAGCAAUCAGGGGUACCAAAGGGUAUGUAGCUCUUGAAUGGUUCAAGAACCUGCCUGUCACCACCAAAGUGGAUACCUACAGUUUUGGCAUUCUUUUGCUGGAGCUAGUAUGCUGUAGAAAGAACUUUGAGAUUAAUGCUCUGCAAGAGCAUCAGGUAGUUCUUGCAGACUGGGCAUGUGAUUGCCUUAAAGAAGGAAAGUUAGGCCUUUUAGUAGAAGAAGAUGAAGAGGCAACAGAAGACAUGAAAACGGUGGAGAGGUUUGUGAUGGUUGCAAUUUGGUGCAUUCAGGAUGAUCCAUCUUUAAGACCUGGAAUGAAGAAAGUUGUGCAGAUGCUAGAAGGAGCUGUUCAAGUCUCAUUUCCUCCUGAUCUUUCAUCAUUUAUCAGCACAAUCUAAAUCCUUUUUGUACACGUAUAUAUAUCCAGAAACUAAG
rnacentral:lncRNA from 1 species